rnacentral:rRNA from 1 species
UACGUAGGAGGCAAGCGUUGUCCGGAAUUACUGGGCGUAAAGCGCGUGUAGGUGGUGGGACAAGUCUGCUGUGAAAGCGCCUGGCUUAACCGGGCGAGGUCGGCGGAAACUGUCCGACUCGAGGACGGUAGUGGGGGGUGGAAUUCCCGGUGUAGUGGUGAAAUGCGUAGAGAUCGGGAAGAACAUCGGUGGCGAAAGCGCUCUACUGGACGGUAUCUGACACUGAGGGACGAAAGCUAGGGGAGCGAAUGGG